UCUCCGGGUUCCUGCUGGUCGUUCGGCUCCUGGGCCGAGCUCUUUGGCGGCUUGCGGAGAGCUGGUUUGCUGACCCAAACAGACGGACAGACAGAUGACUUAUGGGAAGCUCCUGAGUCACGCCUGCUCCCAUAGCCAGCUGCCUUCUCCCUGCUCUGAGGAAGCGCAACUACAUCCUUGUGGCAGGAAGUCCUCACAAGGGCCUGUCUACACAGCACAUUCCUGCAGGAACGGGCCGUGGAAGCGUGUUAUGUCAGGAUUCCUCGGCGCCUCUGACGGACCCCUUUGGGUAGUCAAGGUUCUCGUGUACUUUCUUAAUUCCUGUAAUUGGGUGAGCGAAACGACAAACCAUCUGGGGCUCUUGGGGUAGUGCUCCGCAUGUUUAAGCGGUCAGAAACCCUGAUGUAGGUGAAGGAGGACUUGGAAUCACCUUGAUGCUCAGCCCUUGCACCACAAUAUCAUGCACUGAAGGUUACUUGAAAAAAAAAACCUCAUAAAAAAAGAAUGAAUUUCAACCAACCCCAGGUGACUCGGGAUUUCGGUUAUAAUCCAGCAUGAAGACUACAUCUGCUCUUUGCUUCUCCUCAUCUGCAGUGUUCGUCAUCUUACGUAGAUGUUGCUGCUCAGGAGCUCAUUCCCCAAGAGCUGUCAGUGGAAUCUACUCAGUUAACUUUGUGUGAGGAGAUACUGCCUUGAUGUCUUUGUAGUGUGUGUGUGUGUGUGUGUGUGUGUGUGUGUGUGUGUAUUAGAGAGAGAAAGAGAGAAUUGGGAGGCAUUGGUAAUAUUUUCUGAUACUUUACAAAUUUAAAGUCAAAUUCCCUGGACGGCACAAGCAUCUCCCUCUUUUAUCCAUUUAAGACAGAUCAUCGAGAGAUUGCUCUAUGUGAUCAUCAUGUAUUUCUCAAAAUGAAACUAUUGAGGACAGGGGUAAUCCAUCCGUACCCUGUGAAGACCACAGCGUGUGUGGAGAACAUGUCCAGACCUUGAGAUAACAGCGGGGGAUAAGCCGUGUACACAGGCAUCGCAUCUUUGGGAAGACACGUGAACCUCCUGGAAAGAUGAUGGACAUGGGAAGAACUCUGUUGUUGAAAAGGGAAUCAUACCUUGGGAGAGUGAAAUUAGUGUGGGGCGCCAAAUCCUGAACUAUCCAUAGCUUCCUGAUUUUACCUUUGAUGAUAUUGGUGACUCCCUAACCAAAAA